GAUGAAGAACGUAGCGAAAUGCGAUACUUGGUGUGAAUUGCAGAAUCCCGUGAACCAUCGAGUCUUUGAACGCAAGUUGCGCCCGAAGCCAUUAGGCCGAGGGCACGCCUGCCUGGGCGUCACACGUCGUUGCCCCCCAUCUACUCCUUCGGGAUUGCGGGGGGCGGAUGAUGGCCUCCCGUGCGCCUCGUCGCGCGGUUGGCAUAAAUGCCAAGUCCUCGGCGACACACGCCACGACAAUCGGUGGUUGCGAAACCUCGGUUGCCCGUCGUGUGCGGUCGUCGCGCAUCGAGGGCUCGAAAAAAUUGCCGGGCUCCGGCUCGGCUUUCAACGCGACCCCAGGUCAGGCGGGGUUACCCGCUGAAUUUAAGCAUAUCAAUAAGCGGAGGA
rnacentral:misc_RNA from 1 species